UACAGAGGGAGCAAGCGUUGUUCGGAUUUACUGGGCGUAAAGGGCGUGUAGGUGGGUGGUUAAGUCAGAUGUGAAAUCCCUCUGCUCAACGGAGGAACUGCAUUUGAAACUGGCCGUCUUGAGUGUGAGAAAAGAGAGCGGAAUUCUCGGUGUAGCGGUGAAAUGCGUAGAUAUCGAGAAGAACACCGGUGGUGCAAACGGCUCUCUGGCUCAACACUGACACUGAGGCGCGAAAGUUAGGGGAGCAAACGGG
rnacentral:rRNA from 1 species